GAUGAAGAACGUAGCGAAAUGCGAUAAGUAAUGUGAAUUGCAGAAUUCAGUGAAUCAUCGAAUCUUUGAACGCACAUUGCGCCCUCUGGUAUUCCGGGGGGCAUGCCUGUUCGAGCGUCAUUACAACCCUCAAGCUUUGCUUGGUAUUGGACAUUGCCAGUUUCUGGCAGGUCUUAAAAUCAGUGGCGGUGCCAUUUGGCUUCAAGCGUAGUAAUUCUUCUCGCUUUGGAGAUCCAGGUGGUUACUUGCCAAUAACCCCCAAUUUUUUCAGGUUGACCUCGGAUCAGGUAGGGAUACCCGCUGAACUUAAGCAUAUCAAAAGCGGAGGA
rnacentral:misc_RNA from 1 species